rnacentral:rRNA from 1 species
CCUACGGGAGACUGCAGUGAGGAAUAUUGGUCAAUGGACGAGAGUCUGAACCAGCCAAGUAGCGUGAAUGAUGACUGCCCUAUGGGUUGUAAACUUCUUUUAUAUGGGAAUAAAAUGUUCCACGUGUGGGAUUUUGUAUGUACCAUAUGAAUAAGGAUCGGCUAACUCCGUGCCAGCAGCCGCGGUAAUACGGAGGAUCCGAGCGUUAUCCGGAUUUAUUGGGUUUAAAGGGAGCGUAGGUGGAUUGUUAAGUCAGUUGUGAAAGUUUGCGGCUCAACCGUAAAAUUGCAGUUGAAACUGGCAGUCUUGAGUACAGUAGAGGUGGGCGGAAUUCGUGGUGUAGCGGUGAAAUGCUUAGAGAUCACGAAGAACUCCGAUUGCGAAGGCAGUUCACUGGACUGCAACUGACACUGAGGCUCGAAAGUGUGGGUAUCAAACAGGAUUAGAUACCCGUGUAGUC